GUGAACGCUGGCGGUAGGCCUAACACAUGCAAGUCGAACGGCAGCACAGCAAGAGCUUGCUCUUACGGGUGGCGAGUGGCGGACGGGUGAGGAAUACAUCGGAAUCUACUUUUUCGUGGGGGAUAACGUAGGGAAACUUACGCUAAUACCGCAUACGACCUACGGGUGAAAGCAGGGGAUCUUCGGACCUUGCGCGAUUGAGUGAGCCGAUGUCGGAUUAGCUAGUUGGCGGGGUAAAGGCCCACCAAGGCGACGAUCCGUAGCUGGUCUGAGAGGAUGAUCAGCCACACUGGAACUGAGACACGGUCCAGACUCCUACGGGAGGCAGCAGUGGGGAAUAUUGGACAAUGGGCGCAAGCCUGAUCCAGCCAUACCGCGUGGGUGAAGAAGGCCUUCGGGUUGUAAAGCCCUUUUGUUGGGAAAGAAAAGCAGCAGGUUAAUACCCCGCUGUUCUGACGGUACCCAAAGAAUAAGCACCGGCUAACUUCGUGC
rnacentral:rRNA from 1 species